ACUCUGCCACGAGGGGAACUCCACUAGUCGUGUUCUUAAGCUGCUGGAACUCUAGCGAUAAAGCGUUUUCAAUGACGGCGUGCACAUUGCUUUUAGACAUAAUGCGAGGUGCGCUUACUAGACGCAGCAGGGGGUUAACAUAACUAAUAGACACCGGAAUCCGAAGCAGCUGUGGGACUUGCUUUGCUGGGUUUCGUGCUGGAUCGUGGUGGCCUGGGCUGAGCCCUGCUGUCCCCGAGGUCUGCGGUGUGUGCGCUGCUCCUCUCUGACCUGUGCCUUGGGUCCAGGCGGAACUCCCUUCCAGCUCACUUGCCACAGAAGGAAAAGAUCCCUUCAGAUCCUCAGUCCUGGGGCAGGCGCUCCCCAGGUGGGACCCGACCCACCCUUUCUUCUUUCUUUGGACUCCGCUUUGAUCUAUUGUGUCUCCGAAACGGGAGGGUGCCUGAAGAAUCCUCCUGUGUUUACCCAAGAGCAGGGAAGUCUUACCGACAAACCACAGUUCCAGAGUCCUCCUCACUGAGCAGGAAGCCCAAGGGCUGAGGCGGCUGCACACAGAUGAUGGGAGGGGCUCUCUGGCUUUGCAAGGGCAGGUGUCCUCCUGCUGACGUGUGGAGGGUGGUGGCAGGGACCACUGGUUCGUGGUUGGCUCGGGGAGAAAGGAGGAAGGAGAAUGAGGUCAAGGGGAGACUCUGCACCCCAGAGACGGCUUUGUCCACCUGCAAAAUUAAAAACUCACAUCCCUGCAGUUCUCUUGUGGUGCCACGGGUGAAGGAUCUGGUGCUGUCCCUGCAGUGGCUUGGGUUGCUGCUGUGGUUCGAGUUUGAUCCCUGGCUUGGGGAGUUCUGCAGGCUGUGAGUGCGGCCAAAAAGGAAGAAAAGUCCACACCCAUGAAUGCUUAUUCGACUCUGGGCAAGGGAGAGCCGCUGGGCACAGUGAUGUGAGCCACAGGGAAAAGCCAGCAGGGGACCGGGGCUCAGAGGAUAAAGUGGGGGCAGGAUGGGAGCAGUGAGGCAGUGAGGCACAGUCCUGGAGAGAGCGAGAGAUGUGGCAGCCAAGCUCCCUGGAAGAUGCUAGAAUCCAGGCUCUGGAACCGCAGUGUGGUUGGCGGGCAGUGGUGCCUCCCCUGGGCCUCAUUAGAGUUACCUGGGGACUUUGCUCUGAUGUUGGGCCCUUUUCCAACUCUUUCAACCACAUUUCUCAGCCUCUGAAAUGCAGCAACUGCCCUGGAAGACUCGAGGUGACUGUGCAAGGAGGAGCUGCAGACGGCGUGCCUUGUGGGUCUGGAGGCAGGACUGGAGCCCCAGAGCAGGUGCGGCCGUAAAAAGAAAAAAAGGUUCCCUGAGGGUGAUGCCUGAUGUGGCCCGCUGUCUGGGGUACAGGCUCCUAGUCCACCCCCAGAGGAAAGAAGAGAAAAGAAGAAAACAAGCCUCUUGGUCCCGCUUCCGCCCUGCUCUGUACUGUCCUCACGGGGUUACUUAGCCCUCGGCGAGGAAGCAGACGCCCACCGUACGCACAUCUGGGUCUACCUGCCUCCCGUGAAGCAAGCCCUCUGUUCCUGGUCUGAUUUCUGCAGCCUCAGUCAGACCCAGGCCACCUGCUCGGGAAUCUAGAAGACAGAGGAUGGAUAAACAACAAGCAGCUACUGUCGAGCACGGGGAAUCAUAGCCAACAUCCUGUAAUAAUAAGCCUUAAUGGAAAAGAAUAAACAAAGGAAAGUAUGUAUAUACUGAA